rnacentral:rRNA from 1 species
GGCGAACGCUGGCGGCGCGCUUAAAGCAUGCAAGUCGAACGGGGUAUCCGCAAGGGUGCCCAGUGGCGGACGGCUGAGUAACACGUGGGCAACCUGCCUCGAAGUGGGGAAUAACUCGUGGAAACAUGGGUUAAUACCGCAUGUGGUCUGUUCUCACAAGAGGAUAGACUAAAGGCUUCGGUCGCUUCGAGAGGGGCCCGCGACCCAUCAGCUAGUUGGUGGGGUAACGGCUCACCAAGGCAGUGACGGGUAGCUGGCCUGAGAGGGUGGUCAGCCAGACUGGGACUGAGACACGGCCCAGACUCCUACGGGUGGCAG